UGGGGUGUAGCUUAUUGGUAGAGCACUUGCCUAGAAUGUGUGAAGGUGCUCUGGGUUCAAUCUCCAGCACUGCAU
rnacentral:tRNA from 1 species